rnacentral:lncRNA from 1 species
ACGAGUUGCACUUGUUUCUUUACGGCACCGCUGUGCACGGCAUGUUUCAGUGAUGUCUGCCUACGUCGUGCUCAGUCUGUCGAGUUGCUCGAAGAUAGGUAACGCCGUACACAGCUAGCAUUUUUUAAUCAGACACGUUAUACCUUGCUCUACCGAAACGCAAGUGAGGUAUAGACGCUAACGUAUACAAGCAAACUGAGAAUUUGCGGUAGCCGACGAUGUUCUAAACAUUGCCGCCUGCGGAAUGCUCGCUCCAGACGCAGCAUAGCGACGUCGUCUGGCUUCUCCAAAAAUACUGUAUGAAACAUCGCUCUGCUGCUGCUGCUGCUUAUUCGCAUUCUACACCACUGCAGUCGAAAUACGAGGGGGCCAGCGUUCCACCAGUUGUGCUGAGUCACGCCUCUUUCAAGCCACAGUACAAGUGGUGAUGUCAACACGUUCCUGGCUUUCACCAGUCACCUAGACGCUGAUCGGCGACUACUUGAAGGACACGAAGCAGCAGCUCCCACCGAGAUCCAGGCCCGCAUCAAGGGUUCCAGCCGAGGUCCUGUACCAAGACACCAUGGCCGAGAAACGUCAAAAAAUUUGUGGACAGCACUAAGCGAGUAAAACGAAGGCAGACAGCAUACGAGGCGCCACUCGCCUCAGUGGCACGUAGUGAGAGAAAGUUGAUUUUAAAGAAAGAAAGAGGAAACGCGAACUCCAAUUGUACUGGUAUAGAGUGUCCUUCAAGCACUGUGAUUUCAUUCAGUAAAACCAGUACAGAGAAACACGGAGUCAAAUUGUACUCGUAGAGUGCUCUUCCAUACCAUUGAUAUUAUUUAAUUAGGGGAUGAAGGAUGAUUGUUACAGCGGAUCAACUGAAGGGCCAGCUACUUUUUUCAUAUAUAUAUACAGAAUCUAGGAAAGUUCCCGAAUUUCACUAUUUUCUCGUCUCUGGGCCUUUUAUUUGUUUUUUUUCUUGUCCACAGAUUUACGAAAGUUGUCAGUACAAGUCUCUGGCUCCUUUAGGAAGAAAUGUUAUCCAGUUGCGUGUCGAUAAACAAGUGCCCCCAAGCAGGUACUCUAAACCCAUGAAGCCACCGUGAGCCACUGACGGAUCUCCAGGGGAGCAAUGCCACCAGUGUUUACUGUUUGAACCUUGCUCAGGAACCUCCACUUACUUGAAGACUAAAGCUUAAGGUAUCA